rnacentral:rRNA from 1 species
GGGAAUUUUUCCGCAAUGGGCGAAAGCCUGACGGAGCAAUACCGCGUGAGGGAUGACGGCCUAUGGGUUGUAAACCUCUUUUUUCAGGGAGGAA